AGCGAACGCUGGCGGCAGGCUUAACACAUGCAAGUCGAACGGGCAUCUUCGGAUGUCAGUGGCAGACGGGUGAGUAACAUGUGGGAACGUACCCUUCGGUUCGGAAUAACUCAGGGAAACUUGAGCUAAUACCGGAUACGCCCUUUUGGGGAAAGGUUUACUGCCGAAGGAUCGGCCCGCGUCUGAUUAGCUUGUUGGUGGGGUAACGGCCUACCAAGGCGACGAUCAGUAGCUGGUCUGAGAGGAUGAUCAGCCACACUGGGACUGAGACACGGCCCAGCCUCCUCGGGGGGGAAGAGGGGGGAAAUAUUGAAAAGGGGGCGCAGGCUGAACCAGGCAGUGCCGGGUGGGUGAUAAGGGCUUAGGGGUGGAAACCCUUUUUUGCCGGGGCCGAAAAUGAGGGACCGGAAAAAAAAAGCCCGGGCUACCUUGGCG
rnacentral:rRNA from 1 species